CCCUGAUGCCGAGCCAAAGCUGGACUGUACUGCUGCCAUCUCGGCUCACUGCAACCUCCCUGCCUGAUUCUCCUGCCUCAGCCUGCCGAGUGCCUGCGAUUGCAGGCACGCGCCGCCAUGCCUGACUGGUUUUCGUAUUUUUUUGGUGGAGACGGGGUUUCGCUGUGUUGGCCAGGCUGGUCUCCAGCUCCUAACCGCGAGUGAUCUGCCAGCCUCGGCCUCCCGAGGUGCCGGGAUGGCAGACGGAGUCGCGUUCACUCACUCAGUGUUCAGUGGUGCCCAGGCUGGAGUGCAGUGGCGUGAUCUCGGCUCGCUACAACCUCCACCUCCCAGCUGCCUGCCUUGGCCCCCCAAAGUGCCGAGAUUGCAGCCUCUGCCCGGCCGCCACCCCGUCUGGGAAGUGAGGAGCGUCUCUGCCUGGCCGCCCAUCGUCUGGGAUGUGAGGAGCCUCUCUGCCUGGCUGCCCAGUCUGGAAAGUGAGGAGCAUCUCUGCCCGGCCGCCAUCCCAUCUAGGAAGUGAGGAGCGUCUCUGCCACGCCGCCCAUCGUCUGAGAUGUGGGGAGCGCCUCUGCCCUGCCGCCCCGUCUGGGAUGUGAGGAGCGUCUCUGCCCGGCCGCCCUGUCUGAGAAGUGAGGAGACCCUCUGCCUGGCAACCGCCCCGUCUGAGAAGUGAGGAGCCCCUCUGCCCGGCAGCCACUCCGUCUGGGAAGCGAGGAGCGUCUCCGCCCGGCAGCCACCCUGUCUGGGAGGGAGGUGGGGGUCAGCCCCCCGCCCGGCCAGCCGCCCCGUCCGGAAGGGAGGUGGGGGGGUUAGCCCCCCGCCCGGCCAGCCGCCCCAUCCGGGAGGGAGGUGGGGGGGUCAUCCCCCCACCUGGCCAGCCGCCCCGUCCGGGAAGGAUGUGGGGGGGUCAGCCCCCCGCCCGGCCAGCCGCCCCAUCCGGGAGGUGAGGGGCGCCUCUGCCCGGCCGCCCCUACUGGGAAGAGAGGAGCCCCUCUGCCCGGCCAGCCGCCCCAUCCGGGAGGGAGGUGGUGGGGUCAGCCCCCCGCCCGGCCAGCCGCCCCGUCCGGGAGGUGAGGGGCGCCUCUGCCUGGCCGCCCCUACUGGGAAGUAAGGAGCCCCUCUGCCCGGCCAGCCGCCCCGUCCGGGAGGGAGGCGGGGAGGUCAGCCCCCCGCCCAGCCAGCCGCCCCGUCCGGGAGGGAGGCGGGGGGGUCAGCCCCCCGCCCGGCCAGCCGCCCCGUCCGGGAGGUGAGGGGCGCCUCUGCCCGGCCGCCCCUACUGGGAAGUGAGGAGCCCCUCUGCCCGGCCACCACCCCGUCUGGGAGGUGUACUCAACAGCUCAUUGAGAACGGGCCAUGAUGACAAUGGCGGUUUUGUGGAAUAGAAAGGGGGGAAAGGUGGGGAAAAGAUUGAGAAAUCGGAUGGUUGCCAUGUCUGUGUAGAAAGAGGUAGACAUGGGAGACUUUUCAUUUUGUUCUGUACUAAGAAAAAUUCUUCUGCCUUGGGAUCCUGUUGAUCUGUGACCUUACCCCCAACCCUGUGCUCUCUGAAACAUGUGCUGUGUCCACUCAGGGUUAAAUGGAUUAAGGGUGGUGCAAGAUGUGCUUUGUUAAACAGAUGCUUGAAGGCAGCAUGCUCGUUAAGAGUCAUCACCACUCCCUAAUCUCAAGUACCCAGGGACACAAACACUGCAGAGGGCCGCAGGGUCCUCUGCCUAGGAAAACCAGAGACCUUUGUUCACUUAUCUGCUGACCUUCCCUCCACUACUGUCCUGUGACCCUGCCAAAUCCCCCUCUGCGAGAAACACCCAAGAAUGAUCAAUAAAAAAAAAAAAAAGAAAAUUGGAAAAAAAAAAAAGUUAAAAUGAGGUAUUUAGAGUGGAUCCUCAUCCAAUAUGACUGGUGUUCUCAUAAGAGGGGGAAAUUGGACACAGAGAUGACUAUGUGAGGAUACAGUGAGAAGGUGGCAGCCUUCAAGCCAAAGAGAGAAGUCUCAGAAGGAACCAAACCUGCCGACCCCUUGAUCUCAGGUUUCGAGCUCCCAGACUGAGAAAAUAAUUUUUUUUUCUUUUUUUUUUUCAAGACAGAGUCUUGCUCUGUAGCCCAGGCUGGAGUGCAGUGGCGCAAACUCGGCUCACUGAAACCUCUGCUUCUGGGGUUCAAGCGAUUCUCCUGCCUCAGCCUCCCAAGUAGCUGGGAUUACAGGCAUGUGCCACCAUGCCCAGGUAAUUUUUGUAUUUUUAGUAGAGAUGGUGUUUCACCACGUUGGCCAGAAUGGUCUCAAACUCCUGACCUCAGGUGAUCCACCCGGCUCAGCCUCCCGAAGUGCUGGGAUUACAGGCAUGAGCCACCGCGCCCAGCCAAGAAAAUAAACUUCUAUCAUUAAUGCUACCCAGCCUGUGUUAUUUUGUAACGCCAGCCCUAGCAGACUAACACAGGGACAUCAAAUGCUUCAAAUUUGGCUGGAGAAGAGGAGCAGGCAGGUGGGGUUUACGGUAAUCACCUCCACAGAAAUCAGUACAACAGAGCUGGAACAAGCCAAUUUAGGCUUCAUAAAUUGGAGGGAUUUGAAUCUCAGUUCUCCCCCCUACUCUGUGACCUUAACCUGUUUCCUCAUUUACAAAAUGGAGAAAAUUACAGUACCAUCUUUGUAGAGUUUCUGGGUGGAUUAAAUGAUACAUGCAUUGUGCUGAACACUUCACAUGCACUGACGUACAGUAAGUACUCAGCAGCCAAGUAUUAAUAACACUAAUAAUUAAUAUUAGUAGUGAUAUAGGAGCACAUCCUAGCGGGAGAAAAUGUGUGACCAAGAGGUGGUGUUUGAGGUUACUGAGGAACAAAACAAGCUUCAGUUUCUCAGUCUUUCUAUGUUCACACAGAAACAGGAGCCUCUUAAUGUUCAUUGCCUUUCCCCUCAAGAUAUUCCAAAAAUCAGUGACAACCACAUCUUGUACUAUGUGUAUUCUGGUAAAAUUCUAUCCAUAAAUUACUGAGCAGAAAGAGACAGUUUCACAGGGCCUGCAUGGCAACAUCUGAAGGAAAACAGAAGGCAGCGGUAGUACCCUAGAUACAGAGUAGGGCCUGCUCCCCACCACACUCUCCAAGGCAGCAGCCUAGACAGGUGCAAAUACUGUGCUGAGAGCCUGAGCUCCUGGAGAGCCUGGGCCACACUCUCACUCUGCCCCUGUGACACCUCAGUCAUGCUCCCUCUCUGGGCUCAGUUUCCUCCUCUGCAAACUGAAGCACUGCACUAGCUGAGCUUGGCUGUGCCAAAGAGCCCAAAGACCUUGAUACUUAAGUUCAUCUGCAUCUUUUUGCAGCCUGAUGCUUGCUUCACUGCCCACAUUCAGGCCUCAUGUAUGAAUUAACCAUGCUCCUCUCUGGGUGCUGGCAAUGAG
rnacentral:lncRNA from 1 species